rnacentral:rRNA from 1 species
GACGAACGCUGGCGGCGUGCUUAACACAUGCAAGUCGAACGGAAAGGCCCUGCUUUUGUGGGGUGCUCGAGUGGCGAACGGGUGAGUAACACGUGAGUAACCUGCCCUUGACUUUGGGAUAACUUCAGGAAACUGGGGCUAAUACCGGAUAGGAGCUCCUGCUGCAUGGUGGGGGUUGGAAAGUUUCGGCGGUUGGGGAUGGACUCGCGGCUUAUCAGCUUGUUGGUGGGGUAGUGGAUUACCAAGGCUUUGACGGGUAGCCGGCCUGAGAGGGUGACCGGCCACAUUGGGACUGAGGUACGGCCCAGACUCCUACGGGAGGCAGCAGGGGGGAAUAUUGCACAAUGGGCGGAAGCCUGAGGCAGCGACGCCGCGUGCGGGAUGACGGCCUUCGGGUUGUAAACCGCUGUCGCCUGUGACGAAGCGUGAGUGACGGUAAUGAGUAAAGAAGCACCGGCUAACUACGUG